UACGUAGGGGGGCAAGCGUUGUCCGGAAUCAUUGGGCGUAAAGAGCGUGUAGGCGGCCCGGUAAGUCCGCUGUGAAAGUCGGGGGCUCAACCCUCGAAUGCCGGUGGAUACUGUCGGGCUAGAGUGCGGAAGAGGCGAGUGGAAUUCCUGGUGUAGCGGUGAAAUGCGCAGAUAUCAGGAGGAACACCAAUUGCGAAGGCAGCUCGCUGGGGACGUAACUGACGCUGAGACGCGAAAGCGUGGGGAGCAAACAGG
rnacentral:rRNA from 1 species